rnacentral:rRNA from 1 species
CCCUUAGAUGUUUUGGGCCGCACGCGCGCUACACUGAUGCAUUCAACAAGCCUAGCCUUGACCGAGAGGUCCGGGUAAUCUUUGAAACUGCAUCGUGAUGGGGCUAGAUUAUUGCAAUUAUUAAUCUUCAACGAGGAAUGCCUAGUAAGCGUGAUUCAUCAAAUCGCGUUGAUUACGUCCCUGCCCUUUGUACACACCGCCCGUCGCUCCUACCGAUUGAAUGUGUUGGUGAGGAGCUCGGAUUGGCAGCAGUUGGUGGUUCGCCACCGGCUAUUGCUGAGAAGUCCUCCAAACCGCCCCAUUUAGAGGAAGGAGAANUCGUAACA